rnacentral:rRNA from 1 species
GAUCUGUAGGACAAGGAAGAUGACGACCUGAACUUUGAUGAGGAAUUCCCGGAUGCAUCUCCGCAGGCAGAAUUCAUGGCGAUCUGCCGCGUGCACACAACCAGGCCGUUCUCAAGGGAAUCGUUUUACACACAUAUGAGGGCGGCGUGGAGUCUAGCACAGGACGUGAACUUCAAGCCGGUGGGCGAGAACUUGUUCGUCCUCACUGUUAAUUGUCUGGGAGAUUGGAAGAGAGUUACUGAACAGGGUCCGUGGCUUUUCCGGGAUAAUGGUGUUCUGGUUGAGCCGUAUGAUGGUUUUCAGAAGUUGGACCUGGUAAUUCUUGAUAAGAUCUCUGUCUGGAUACAAAUCCAAAACCUACCCCCCGGAUAUAGGAGGAAGGAGGUCCUCGAAGCAUGGUGUAGGAGAGUUGGGGAGGUUCUGUACGUCAAUCUCUCUUCCCGCGGGGAUGGGAGGUCUGUACGAGUUAGGGUAAAACUUGAUGUAAACAAGCCCCUGACUAGGUUUCUGUCGAUCACGAAGAACGAAGAAAAGGUGUUCUACCAAGUGUUCUAUGAAAAAAUUCCUAAGUUCUGUUUCUUUUGUGGUCUUCUAGGGCACACACACCUAGAACAUGCCAAUGGCAAGCAUGAUCCGAAAGAUCUGAACUGGGGUGAUUGGCUACUAGCUCCGAUGUUCACCCCUCUGGUUUCCAGUACCAACCCAGCUAGGGGUGGGAGUAGGGGGGGUGGGAGUGGAAGGGGUGGGAGAAACACCUAUGAGUCUCAGAAGCGUGCUGAUCCAUCCUAA